UUAAAGGUGAAAGUAAGAGUGAAGGCAUUGGAAAAGCUGUUAUUUCAGGUCUUAAAUAAUAAUGACAGCUGUUUAUUAUAUCCUACUACAUUCAGUCAAGGUUCUAUGAUAUCAAAAAGGUCUUGCACGAAACAAAAAUAUGAAAGGAGUGGGAGAAGGCAGCAAAGCUAACAGUAGACCAAUUUAAGAUUGGUAUCUUUUUGUUAAUGGUCACAAGCAUAAAUGACUCUCUGCAGAGAUGACAGAGGAUUUUUAUAUUGCAAGUACAGUCAUGCUAGGUGUGAAGAUAUGCACUACAAAUGGAGAAAAGCACUUUAAACACAGAUCUCUGUUUGAAGCUGUUUUCUUCUUGGAAAGUGACUGGGAAAGCUAAUAUGAUUAUAGUGGUAUCAGCAAAGAUGGAUUAAGAGACUGAGCAAGCCCAGUUCCUUCAGUCUAUUUUCAUAGCAG